UGUUGAUGAUGACAAUUCCGAAGGCUUGUUUCUCAGAACAUUCGCAGUGGCCGCCUAAGAGCUUUCGCCUUCGCCAGGCUUGAGAGCUAAUGCUGCUUUAUUCCUUCCUUGGAUGCCUGAAACC
rnacentral:snoRNA from 2 species